UGAUGACCGACUAGGCCAUCCUCUUGCAGGUCAUCUUUAGCUACAUAGUGUGUUCAAGGCUAGCUUGGGCUACAAGAGGAUGACAUGAACUCCUGAUUUUUUUGCUUUCUACCCCUGAGCCCUGAAAUGAAAGUGCUGGAGAUGAAACCCAGGGCUCCCGGUAUACUGGACAAGUGCUGUCACUGAGCCACAGUUUCCGGUUAUGUUUUUCAAUGUAAUUUUUUUAAGGAAAUGGGGUCCAAUCUGCUCAUUCUGUGACCAACAGUCCCAAUGUGCCUUGAGCUAACACUUCUGAGAGUGGCCCUCUACCAGUGACCCAGGGAUUCCAGUGGAGAGAAUUACUGUUUGAUUACAGUUUGAUGCUGUCUUCCAGUAGCUGAGUUCUGCUUGCCUGCAGUGGAAACCGCCUUGACUGCUGCUCUGGCUGCUUUCCCCCCAGGUUUUGCCUUCUUACUCCCCAAUAGGGAAGUUCUAGGGUUGCCUCCAAAUCACCAUUUUGUACUGAAAUUAAUUUAUUUGUUUUUGUUUUCUCGAUUCUGUAGCACAGGUUAACCUCUAGCCUUGGUGGCAAACAAAACGCAAGGGUCCAUUUUCAGUACAAAAGUCCCUUAGAUGGGCUUAGGUUUCAGGUAAGCAAAAGGAAGGCAUUGGCUUCUUUGCCCUAACAGCUUGUGCCUUCUUCUUGUCUGGCCUUUUAGUUAACCUUCUUUCCAAACCAAGGUUAUCUUUACAGGAUGAGAGGGUACAGGUAGCAUCAUGACCAAGAGCAAACAUUGAAAAAAGGGGGAGAUGGAUGGAUAAUGGAACUCAGGCAACAUGCAGCAAAGCAGGGGAAAGGAAUUUUGAUUAGGACCAUUAAAAAAAAUAAAAAAGGACAGUUUUUUCCCAAUGGGGCGCCAUUGCCAGUUUUGUUGGCAUUUCACCUUACAAGGUCGUAAAAUAAACUGCCUCAAUUUUUGUCA